AUACCCCUACUGUUAAAUUAAUACCUAAAAAGUCAUCCAUUCCUUUCUUUUAUUGCUAAAAAACCAUUCAAUUAUCAUCAUCCACCAACAGUCACAUUCUCAACUCACACCACUUCCGCCACCACCAACGACCACCGUAUCUUUGUCACCAUCACCGUCAUCUCCAUCAGUUUCAUUGAUACCACCUCUGCCACCCCUCAACCCCUGUCACCUGUUUUCACCACCACCAAUUUCAUUACCCCAUCCCACUUCUUGCUACGAUUUAAAGGUUUGACAGUGCGAUUUGCAGGUUUGUUAGACAUAACGAUGCAAAUGGUAGAUUUGAACUGGUGGGUUCGCAAGAAAAUCUAGGAAACAACGAUGGGGCUUUUUGGGAUGCUACCGGUGGUCGACGGCACUGGUAAAACGGUAGUAGCGUCUUGCGGCGGCGAUGCGACAGCGAGACAUAGGCAAAGUGGGGCGGGUUGUCGGUGGCCUGCAGGCGGCAGUUGCAGGUGAGCAAGGUCGGCGGCGACAGGGGGCGACGCGCGGCGGUGUGUGGCUAGUCAAAAGUCGCGCCACCAUCUUCAAGUUGAGUUGCAGGUGUAAGGUUGUCUCUUUCGUCUUUGACUAUUUGGAAACAAUCAUCGAUUCUUUGACUGACUAUUUCUUUAAAGGAUCAUUAAUCAUCAUCUUUUUAGUUUAUUGUUGGUUCAAUCUUCUUCCAUGCCUCAAAAGAAAGUUGAUCGAUCAAAGUAAAGAUCCGGAGGUAGACGAGGAACAAGCUGCGCCGUUACCCCUUUCUGAAAGUUUGUUUAACGAGUAACAAUUUAGACAAAGACAACGAGUAAACUUUAAAACCUUUUUACAUUAUGAAGUAAAAUUAGAGAUUUAUGUUGUACUGGUGUGAAAUUAUUUAUAAAUAAUUUGAGACCAUAGUCGGAUCUUAUGCAUAUAUCAAUUUGGUUUUAAAAAAGGUAAAAAUAUAUACUUUUAUAGAAACACAUUAUCGACUCACAUAUUCUCAAGAAAUUUAAACUUAUAGAUACAUGGACAAGUAAGUUAUGGCAUCUGGUUUUUAUUACCUGGGUCAUAAACGUCGGAUCUGAAAGUAGGUGUCGCCGGAAAGCUCACCCCUGGGAGUGUUUUUGUUGGAUGUUUGGAAAGGAAAACCGAGGGUGAAACUGGGUUUUAAAAUUGAAGAUUUCAAAGUUGGUCAAACCGUGCAUGAUAUGUCAUUUUCGUUUUCUGAUUUGCACCAUGUGAUGUUACAGGGAUCAGAACUUUAGACCUGGUAAAAUUGGUAGGGGUGACAGUCUAAGAGGACCCGGGGUGGAAUAACUCACUAACCAUUCCAUCACUCACAACAUCCAAUCAGGUUCUGCCAUGUCAUCAACCAUUAUUUCCAUCACUCACAUCCUUUUUUGCUGGAAAUGGUCAUCACUUGUACAAAUUUCCAUCACUCACUAAUUUAAAAAAAAAAA